rnacentral:rRNA from 1 species
UACGAGGGGGGCAAAUGUUGUUCGGAAUCACUGGGCGUAAAGGGAGCGUAGGCGGGUUUCUAAGUCAGGUGUUUAAUCCCGGGGCCCAACCCCGGACAGGCACUUGAAACUGGGAAUCUUGAAUAGUGGAGAGGUCAGUGGAAUUGGGGGUGUAGCGGUGGAAUGCGUAGAGAUCCCCAAGAACACCAGUUGCGAAGGCGGCUGACUGGACACAGUAUUGACGCUGAGGCUCGGAAAGCAUGGGGAGCAAACA